UGGGGAAUUGUUCGCAAUGGGCGCAAGCCUGACGACGCAACGCCGCGUGGAGGACGAAGACCUUCGGGUCGUAAACUCCUUUCGAUCGGGAAGAACGGCUUCCGGGUGAACCAUCCGGAAGAGUGACGGUACCGAGAGAAGAAGCCCCGGCUAACUCUGUGCCAGCAGCCGCGGUAAUACGGGGGGGGCAAGCGUUGUUCGGAUUUAUUGGGUUUAAAGGGUGCGUAGGCGGCUUUAUAAGUCCGUGGUGAAAGCCAACAGCUCAACUGUUGAACUGCCAUGGAUACUGUAAGGCUUGAGUACAGACGAGGUAGGCGGAAUGGAUGGUGUAGCGGUGAAAUGCAUAGAUACCAUCCAGAACCCCGAUUGCGUAGGCAGCUUACUAGGCCGUAACUGACGCUGAGGCACGAAAGCGUGGGGAGCGAA
rnacentral:rRNA from 1 species